ACGUCGUAUGAUGUCCCGAACGUAAACGUGUUUUUUUCCUUCCUCUCUUCCUUCUUCCUCUGUAUUUUUUUUCUCUAUUUCAUUUAUUUUUUACUAUGAAACUCACGCCAUUCAUUAUCGGCGUAUACUUUGAACGGGAUAACAUCGGACCAUUUCGGGCACGUCACACAAACCGUGGCCUGAUUGCAAGCGGCGCGGGGGUUCGAUCGGCACAUAUACAAUAAUAUGUCAGGAUUUUCAAACUACCUGCAGGCUGCAGCAGAACGAGGCAAAAGACCUUGCACCCGGAUUACAUCAACAGCAAUAUUGAAAAUCAGGCAUCCCAUCAAACCUUGCAUUUUUAUAUUUUCUACCAUGUAUUUUGUAUACACACUACUAUAGCAUGCUAUAGGAACUAUUAUAAUCAAUUAUAAUAAUAUGUGUA